AAGGUUCUAAUCGAUCGCAGUCGCAUCAACGAUUAUUCAUUGUUUACGUCUGUGUCGUAAACCUGAUCGACAAUAACCUUUGGUGCUGUUAGAGCAGGGAAAGGGCGAUUCUCGAGCUGAAAGGUAUCCAUCACCAUUCUUGUCGCUGAAUUUUUUUACACCAUUCUCUCACUUCAUCAAUGCCACAAAGUGUAUCGCCUCAUGAUAGAGAUGGGUUAAUUUUGGAUGAUAUUUAAGAAGACAAUGAAUAAUUUCCAUUGUUCAAUGGAUUAAUAGGUGGAUAAAGUAGAUCCAGUUUGUGUGCUUUAAGAAGAAUUCAUUUGAAGUGUGGAGUGGAUGAAUUUUCUCCUGGCUUGAAAUUGGUCAUUUUGUUAAGACUAAAGUAAUUUCGUUUUUGUUUUUGUAGUAAAGAAAUAGUUGUGACAUAAUUACUGUUCAAUGAUAAGUUAGGAAAUUGUUUAUUAAAACCUUGAAACUAAAUAUUUUAUAAUAUUCUAUGUUUGUUUA